rnacentral:sRNA from 1 species
ACGGUGGAGAGUGCACGCCGCCCAGUCUCCCCAGCUAGGGUAGAUGUGCUUGAGGAAGGUGCCUCUCUCCUCUGACUCCCCUGGAGCCCUCCCCUAAGGCCUUAGCUUCAGGCCUGGCUUUCCUGCUACCUGCCCCUUCUCUGGUCCCUGUCUCUCCCCCACUCCUCACAGGACAGUGGCCUGAAGGACCUGACCGGGUCCUGCUUUCUUCCCUGGGGCAGCUGGUGUGAGGUUCUGCCGCGCAGGGUCAGACCCUGCGGGCUGAGACAAUGAGGCGUUCUCUAAGGUUCUGGCAUUGUGUGUGCCGGCUGUGACUGGCGGCCGAGGGUGCCGGUGGGCAGCUGGGCCCCUACCCUGGAAGCAAAGUGUGGGGUGAGGCCGGGAGGCCCCAGGGCCUGCUCAGGAUGUCUGGGUACAGUGUGGGCCACCCCCACUUCUGCUCCUCUCACGGCUGCCGCCUUCUUAUUUCAGAGCAUGGGCAUGUGUUUCAUCGGGAAGAGGAAUUUUGAACAUUUCCUUCUUCAGUAUUUGCAGCCUCGACCUGGUCACUUUAUUUCCAUAGAAGACAAUAAGG